GACGAACGCUGGCGGCGUGCCUAAUGCAUGCAAGUCGCACGCGGCACCUUCGGGUGCUGAGUGGCGAACGGCUGAGGAACACGUGGGGACCUGUCCGGGAGUGGGGGACAACACCGCGAAAGCGGUUCUAAUCCCGCAUACUCUCUGAGGAGGAAAGCCGAAAGGCGCUCCCGGGUGGCCCUGCGGCCCAUCAGGUUGUUGGUGGGGUAACGGCCUACCAAGCCAAUGACGGGUCGCUGGUCUGUGAGGACGACCAGCCAGACGGGGACUGGGACACGGCCCAGACUCCUACGGGAGGCAGCAGCAAGGAAUUUUCGGCAAUGGGCGCAAGCCUGACCGAGCAACGCCGCGUGCAGGAAGACGGCCUUCGGGUUGUAAACUGCUUUUGCUAGGGAUGAUAACAGACAGUACCUGGCGAAUCAGCCCCGGCUAACUCUGUG
rnacentral:rRNA from 1 species